rnacentral:rRNA from 1 species
AGCGAACGCUGGCGGCAGGCCUAACACAUGCAAGUCGAACGAAGUCUUCGGACUUAGUGGCGGACGGGUGAGUAACACGUGGGAACGUACCUUUUGGUUCGGAACAACUCAGGGAAACUUGAGCUAAUACCGGAUGAGCACUUAGGGGGAAAGAUUUAUCGCCGAAAGAGCGGCCCGCGUUAGAUUAGCUAGUUGGUGAGGUAAAGGCUCACCAAGGCUACGAUCUAUAGCUGGUCUGAGAGGAUGAUCAGCCACACUGGGACUGGGACACGGCCCAGACUCCUACGGGAGGCAGCAGUGGGGAAUCUUGCGCAAUGGGCGAAAGCCUGACGCAGCCAUGCCGCGUGAAUGAUGAAGGUCUUAGGAUUGUAAAAUUCUUUUACCAGGGACGAUAAUGACGGUACCUGGAGAAAAAGCCCCGGCUAACUUCGUGCCAGCAGCCGCCGUAAGAC